UACAGAGGGUGCAAGCGUUGUUCGGAAUCACUGGGCGUAAAGCGACCGCAGGCGGCCUGACAAGUCGGAUGUGAAAGCCCUGGGCUCAACUCAGGAAUUGCAUUCGAAACUGGUAGGCUCGAGUACGGGAGAGGGGGGUGGAAUUCCUGGUGUAGGGGUGAAAUUCGUUGAUAUCAGGAGGAACACCGGCGGCGAAGGCGGCCCCCUGGCCCGCAACUGACGCUCAUGGUCGAAAGCGUGGGGAGCAAACAGG
rnacentral:rRNA from 1 species